UGGAACAGGGCGUCGCAGAGGGUGAGAGUCCCGUAUGUGACCGGCGGCCAACCCCAUGCGAGGCCCUUCGACGAGUCGAGUUGUUUGGGAAUGCAGCUCAAAAUGGGUGGUAAAUUUCAUCUAAAGCUAAAUACCGGCCAGAGACCGAUAGCGCACAAGUAGAGUGAUCGAAAGAUGAAAAGCACUUUGGAAAGAGAGUCAAACAGUACGUGAAAUUGUUGAAAGGGAAGCGCUUGCGACCAGACUUGCCCGCGGGUGAUCAUCCGUCCUUCGGGGCGGUGCACUCGCCCGCGAUCAGGCCAGCAUCGGUUCGGGCGGCGGGACAAGGCCCCGGGAACGUAGCUCCUUCCGGGGAGUGUUAUAGCCCGGGGUGCAAUGCGGCCAGCCGGGACCGAGGACCGCGCUUCGGCUAGGAUGCUGGCGUAAUGGUUGUCAGCGACCCGUCUUGAAACACGGACCAAGGAGUCGAACAUCUGCGCGAGUGUUUGGGUGGCAAACCCAGACGCGGAAUGAAAGUGAACGGAGGUGGGAGCCCUUAACGGCGCACCAUCGACCGAUCCUGAUGUUUUCGGAUGGAUUUGAGUACGAGCGCAGCUGUUGUGACCCGAAAGAUGGUGAACUAUGCCUGAAUAGGGUGAAGCCAGAGGAAACUCUGGUGGAGGCUCGCAGCGGUUCUGACGUGCAAAUCGAUCGUCGAAUUUGGGCAUAGGGGCGAAAGACUAAUCGAACCAUCUAGUAGCUGGUUCCAGCCGAAGUUUCCCUCAGGAUAGCAGUAACGUUUUCAGUUUUAUGAGGUAAAGCGAAUGAUUAGAGGCGUUGGGGUUGAAACAACCUUAACCUAUUCUCAAACUUUAAAUAUGUAAGAAGUCCUUGUUACUUAGUUGAACGUGGACAUUU
rnacentral:rRNA from 1 species